rnacentral:rRNA from 1 species
UUCCCCUUCGGGGGACAAAGUGACAGGUGGUGCAUGGUUGUCGUCAGCUCGUGUCGUGAGAUGUUGGGUUAAGUCCCGCAACGAGCGCAACCCUUAAGCUUAGUUGCCAUCAUUUAGUUGGGCACUCUAAGUUGACUGCCGGUGACAAACCGGAGGAAGGUGGGGAUGACGUCAAAUCAUCAUGCCCCUUAUGAUUUGGGCUACACACGUGCUACAAUGGACAAUACAAAGGGCAGCGAAACCGCGAGGUCAAGCAAAUCCCAUAAAGUUGUUCUCAGUUCGGAUUGUAGUCUGCAACUCGACUACAUGAAGCUGGAAUCGCUAGUAAUCGUAGAUCAGCAUGCUACGGUGAAUACGUUCCCGGGUCUUGUACACACCGCCCGUCACACCACGAGAGUUUGUAACACCCGAAGCCGGUGGAGUAACCAUUUGGAGCUAGCCGUCGAAGGUGGGACAAAUGAUUGGGGUGAAGUCGUAACAAGGUAGCCGUAUCGGAAGGUGCGGCUGGAUCACCUCCUUUCUAAGGA